CAGCCGCCGCGGUAAUACGUAGGUGGCAAGCGUUGUCCGGAAUUAUUGGGCGUAAAGGGCUCGCAGGCGGUUUCUUAAGUCUGAUGUGAAAGCCCCCGGCUCAACCGGGGAGGGUCAUUGGAAACUGGGAAACUUGAGUGCAGAAGAGGAGAGUGGAAUUCCACGUGUAGCGGUGAAAUGCGUAGAGAUGUGGAGGAACACCAGUGGCGAAGGCGACUCUCUGGUCUGUAACUGACGCUGAGGAGCGAAAGCGUGGUGAGCGAACAGGAUUAGAUACCCCCGUAGUCCCUGUCUCUUAUCC
rnacentral:rRNA from 1 species